rnacentral:lncRNA from 1 species
CCUCUUCCUUCUCUCCAAAAACGCCACCAACAACAAUAUUUUCAACCACCCAAAAAUCAAGUGAAAAACUUGUCUUAUGUUUUUCUCUUCACGCAUUCGGUGCUCCGUCAUCGUCGUCUUCGCCGACCUUUCAAUUUGAUUCAAAUCUUUCCUUUCUCAAGCACAAUCAAUGGCCCCUCCUCUUCUGAUGCAAAACGUGGGUGGGACUUAUGAACAAGGUCAGGACAGAAGAUCGCGAGGAAGACGCUGGUACAAAGCUGAUGAAUUAAUACAGUCAUGAUCGGAGAUCGUGAGAAAAACGGUUGCCGCCGGUUGAGUGGGUUGUGAGGAGGUGGAGGAGAGAACACGACGGGGAGGGAGGAAGAGAGAGGCUUUCACGGUUCUUUCUUUUUUUCCUGUUUUUUUUUUUGUUUGUUUAACAGUUCAUUGUUCACAUACCAAAAAAAUACCACGUGUCGCACAUUGGUGUGGGUGUAGAAAAAGUGUGUACAAAUGAAGUGUGUCGAUGUAUCAGUACUUAAAGAAUUUCUUUUUCGGACACAGUAUAUGUCUUAAGAUAAGCUCAUAUAUAUAUGAUGACUAGUUUUAAC